rnacentral:rRNA from 1 species
GUGACAGCCGCCGCGGUAAUACGGAGGGUGCAAGCGUUAUCCGGAUUCACUGGGUUUAAAGGGUGCGUAGGUGGGCAAGUAAGUCAGUGGUGAAAUCUCCGGGCUUAACCCGGNNCCUGCCAUUGAUACUAUUUGUCUUGANUACUGUGGAGGUCAGCGGAAUAUGUCAUGUAGCGGUGAAAAUGCUUAGAUAUGACAUNGNAACACCAAUUGCGAAGGCAGCUGGCUACACAAAUAUUGACACUGAUGCACGAANGCGUGGGGAUCAAA